CACAGAGACCCCCCAAUGGAGGAGUUAUGGGAAGGACUGAAGGAGCUGAAGGGGUCUUAUCUGGCAUCAAUGGGACGGAAGGCCCUUGUUCCUGUGUUCUCGAUGCCCCAGGAAUCAAGGAAUUUGUAUCAAAAUGAAGUGCACGUUUUUAAUCAGUCCCGGAGAGGCUGAGGCAGGAGGCUUUCAUUAUACACAAAAGACAUGGGUGUUAUUUAAUUAUGAAGAUCCUUUCAGAAAACUAAGAAUGAAUUGAACAUCAAGUUUUAUCAUUGUGAUCAUCUACCCUCUGAGACUUAAGAAAGAUCCUCCCAGACCUAACUCAUUUACGACAUGAUUAAACCCAUCAGAAACAACAGAGAUUCCAUUCUUGCUCCUGUCAUUCACUGCUGAGUCCGAACUACAUAUGUUGUUCAGUGAAGUAUUAUACACAUGGAUUUAUAACGCAGUAACCAUCCUUACUAAGCGAUAAGUGAAAGUGUGUAUCUUCCCUUGUCUGUUGAGAAUCAAAUACUCUUUCAUAACUGCCAACAUCAUGGUUCUAGGUCAUAGUACUCACUGCUCAGAUAUAUUCUCCAAUAUCCACA
rnacentral:lncRNA from 1 species